UUGAAAGAACAACUGAAAAUCAAUUUAGGUUGCAUAUGUGUCAUGUGUGGAGAAGAACCCUCUAGCCAGUCCGUCACCUAUCCUUUUAUCUUAAUUUCAUGUUUUUAUCAAUUCUGUAAUUUAUUUAAGUUUAAUUUAUUUCUCGUCAAAACCAAACCCCCCCCCCAUUAUUAAAUUAUAUUAUUUAGUUAAUUUUCAUUGUUGUUAGUCUUUUAAUUCAAUUUCCGUCCAUUUCAGUUCCUAGUGUCUAAUUUGAUUGUUUUCA
rnacentral:lncRNA from 1 species